GAGGAAUAUUGGUCAAUGGGGGCAACCCUGAACCAGCCAAGUCGCGUGAAGGAUGAAGGUCUUAUGGAUUGUAAACUUCUUUUACACGGGAAUAAAGCGGGGGACGUGUCCCUCUUUGCAUGUACCGUGUGAAUAAGGAUCGGCUAACUCCGUGCCAGCAGCCGCGGUAAUACGGAGGAUCCGAGCGUUAUCCGGAUUUAUUGGGUUUAAAGGGUGCGCAGGCGGGAUGUUAAGUCGGCGAUGAAAUUUUGCAGCUCAACUGUAAAAGUGCCUUCGAUACUGGCCUUCUUGAGUGUGGAUGAAGUAGGCGGAAUUUGUGGUGUAGCGGUGAAAUACUUAGAUAUCACGAGGAACUCCGAUUGCGCAGGCAGCUUACUAAGCCACAACUGACGCUCAUGCACGAAGGCGUGGGGAUCAAACA
rnacentral:rRNA from 1 species